AUACGGAGGAUGCAAGCGUUAUCCGGAUUUAUUGGGUUUAAAGGGUGCGUAGGCUGUUCGGAAAGUCAGGGGUGAAAGCCCGGCGCCUACCGCCGGAACUGCCUUUGAUACUUCCGAGCUGGAAUACGGAUGCCGUGGGAGGAAUGAGUAGUGUAGCGGUGAAAUGCAUAGAUAUUACUCAGAACACCGAUUGCGAAGGCAUCUCACGAAUCCGUCAUUGACGCUGAGGCACGAAAGCGUGGGGAUCAAACAGGAUUAGAUACCCUGGUAGUCCACGCAGUAAACGAUGAUGACUAACCGUCGGCGAUACACAGUCGGUGGCCAAGCGAAAGCGAUAAGUCAUCCACCUGGGGAGUACGUUCGCAAGAAUGAAACUCAAAUGAAUUGACGGGG
rnacentral:rRNA from 1 species